UCCGAUGUGGUGUAGUGGCUAACAUUGCUGUCUUUCAUAAAGUUCCCCAUUUCUCUGAAUCACAGCAGCCCGGGGUUCGAUUCCCCGCAUCGGAA